rnacentral:rRNA from 1 species
UACGUAGGUCCCGAGCGUUGUCCGGAUUUAUUGGGCGUAAAGCGAGCGCAGGUGGUUUAUUAAGUCUGGUGUAAAAGGCAGUGGCUCAACCAUUGUAUGCAUUGGAAACUGGUAGACUUGAGUGCAGGAGAGGAGAGUGGAAUUCCAUGUGUAGCGGUGAAAUGCGUAGAUAUAUGGAGGAACACCGGUGGCGAAAGCGGCUCUCUGGCCUGUAACUGACGCUGAGGCACGAAAGUGCGGGGAUCGAACAGG